rnacentral:lncRNA from 1 species
UCAUCGUGUGCCUUCAUUCUCCCAUUCAUUGAAAAUUAAAAGCGUAACCUAAGGGGUAGCGGUUGCACCACGUGCUCCCCAUUCUAGUGUACAAACAUUGCUAUCAUGAAGCUUCUCAUUCGCAUGCUUCAAUCAAAACAAAAACAUAAUGAGGGAUGCAGUCUCCUCAGCAAAGAAAAGGGAAAGUGCUACAUUGUAGUCGUUCAAGAAAGUUCUCUCCUCCUGCCCCCAAUGUAACAGUGUCGGCUCUCCUCCUCUGCCAGACCCUAGUCCUCCCUUAGCUAUUUCAAUUUUUAUUUCAUUUUGUACUUGAGAAGCUGGAUUCUCCAAGUUGUCCAUGUGCUGCCAAACAGGAUACUGUUUAAUUGCUGGAUGCACC